rnacentral:rRNA from 1 species
GAUUUCUGGUCUGGUGCGCCUGGCCCGCCGCAUUAGCGUGUGAGUGCCGGGUCGCGCCUGCCAUCCUUCUAGAAAACGUGUCUACCCUUCAUUGGGCCGGAUACGCGAUCUAGAUCUUUUACUUUGAAAAAAUUAGAGUGUUUAAAGCAGGCUUUUGCUAUGAAUACAUUAGCAUGGAAUAAUAAUUUAGGACUUUGGUCUUAUUUUGUUGGUUUCUAGGACUAAAGUAAUGAUUGAUAGGGAUAGUUGGGGGUGCUAGUAUUCAGCGGCCAGAGGUGAAAUUCUUGGAUUCGCUGAAGACUAACUUAUGCGAAAGCAUU